GUCUACGGCCAUGCCACACUGAGCAAGCCCGAUCCCAUCUGAUCUCAGAAGCUAAGCAGGGUUGGGCCAGGUUAGUGCUUGGAUAAGGAGACCACUUAGGAAGACCAGGUGCUAUAGGCA
rnacentral:rRNA from 1 species